GUUUUACUCGGUAGAUUUCACUGAACACAAAUAUUAGUGUUUUAAAGCAGUAAAACAUAUCACAGUGAUGAUAUUGUAAGUGAUAUUGCAUUUUUCACACACAAAUGCCACUUUCACUGAUGAUAUCAUUGUUGCGAUACAUUUUACUGAACACUAAUAUUUGUUUUCAGUGAAGUCUCCUCCCAAGUAUACC